UCCCUGAUGGUCUAGUGGUGAGGAUUUGGCACUUUCACUGUUGCAGCCCAGGUUCAAGCCCUGGUCAGGGAA